rnacentral:lncRNA from 1 species
CAAACAAUCAACAUCUUUACAUGCAAAUGCCAUCAAAAGGACUUUCCCAAGGCUUGUAAUGAGGUUGGGCUAACAAGAAAGAAUUGGUUUUUCUAGAAUGCAAAAUCCUUGAAUCAAGAGAGCUAACAAAAUAUUGAACAUUUAAGCACCACUCUCACCAAUGUCUCUCAUUCCCAAUUUUUCCCUUUUCUUUUUCUUUUGCAUUGAGCUCUUCUGCAUGCUUUUCUUCUUUUCUUUUCUUUUUCUCAUGAAUUUCCUCUUUUCACAAUAAUUGAUCUCAAUGCCUUUCACUUGCUUUUUCAAUUUUCCCUAGUACAACCCC